UCCGGAGGGGGCUAGCGUUGUUCGGAAUUACUGGGCGUAAAGCGCACGUAGGCGGCUUUGUAAGUUAGAGGUGAAAGCCCGGGGCUCAACUCCGGAAUUGCCUUUAAGACUGCAUCGCUAGAAUUGUGGAGAGGUAAGUGGAAUUCCGAGUGUAGAGGUGAAAUUCGUAGAUAUUCGGAAGAACACCAGUGGCGAAGGCGGCUCACUGGACCGGUAUUGACGCUGAGGUGCGAAAGCGUGGGGAGCAAACAGG
rnacentral:rRNA from 1 species